rnacentral:lncRNA from 1 species
AGAAAUUAAAAAACUCAAAUAUCAAAACAUUAUAAUUUAAGUCAAUAUAAUUAUUCAUAAAAAAAUCCCAUAUUUUCUUGUUUUAGUGUUUAACGCAUAUAUUUAAUUUAAACAACGUGGUAUAAAAUAAGUAUAAAUUAUUCUACUUGUGCUGAUUUGGUGUAGUAAACAUAGUCACCUUGAGAAGGCUACUAUGUUAAACAAAUUCAUUGAGUAGAUAAGAAAUAUGUAUAAGUAUAUUUCAUUUUAAUUCAAAUACAUCCAUUUGGAGUGUUUCAUCCCAUCCUAUAAUGUUCAAAGCGAACAU